rnacentral:rRNA from 1 species
AAGCAUAUCAAUAAGCGGAGGAAAAGAAACCAACAGGGAUUGCCUUAGUAACUGCGAGUGAAGCGGCAAAAGCUCAAAUUUGAAAUCUGGCGUCUUCGACGUCCGAGUUGUAAUUUGGAGGGGCAUCUUCGGAAUUGGCGCCGUCCUAAGUUCCUUGGAACAGGACGUCAUAGAGGGUGAGAAUCCCGUGCCUGGAUGGCUGUCCAAUUCCAUGUGAAGUGUCUCCGACGAGUCGAGUUGUUUGGGAAUGCAGCUCAAAAUGGGUGGUAAAUUUCAUCUAAAGCUAAAUAUUGGCGAGAGACCGAUAGCGCACAAGUAGAGUGAUCGAAAGAUGAAAAGCACUUUGAAAAGAGAGUUAAAAAGUACGUGAAAUUGUUGAAAGGGAAGCGCUUGAGACCAGACUCAAUCUUAGGUGAUCAGCUGUGCUUCUGUACGGUGCACUUGCCUUUGAUUGGGCCAGCAUCAGUUCUGACGGUGGGAUAAAAUGCAUAGGAAUGUGGCUCUCUUCGGGGAGUGUUAUAGCCUUUGUAACAAUGCCACCAGUUGGGACUGAGGACCGCGCUUCGGCUAGGAUGCUGGCGUAAUGGUCUUAAGCGACCCGUCUUGAAACACGGACCAAGGAGUCUAACAUCUAUGCGAGUGUUCGGGUGGAAAACCCUUGCGCGUAAUGAAAGUGAACGGAGGUGUGAACCCCUCGGGGUGCAACAUCGACCGAUCCUGAUGUUUUCGGAAGGAUUUGAGUAAGAGCAUAGCUGUUGGGACCCGAAAGAUGGUGAACUAUGCCUGAAUAGGGUGAAGCCAGAGGAAACUCUGGUGGAGGCUCGCAGCGGUUCUGACGUGCAAAUCGAUCGUCAAAUUUGGGUAUAGGGGCGAAAGACUAAUCGAACCAUCUAG